UCAUGUUCAGCCACAUCACCCUGCAGCUCUUAACUGGCAGCCCACUAAAGCAAAGCAGGGUUGAGCCUGGUCAGUACUGGGAUAGGAGAUCUCCUGGGAAGCUAUGGUUGCUGCUAGAA
rnacentral:rRNA from 1 species